AAGUCGUAACAAGGUUUCCGUAGGUGAACCUGCGGAAGGAUCAUUAUUGAAAUAAACCUGAUGGGUUGCUGCUGGCUCUCUAGGGAGCAUGUGCACACUUGUCAUCUUUAUAUCUCCACCUGUGCACCUUUUGUAGAUCUGGAUAUCUUUCUGAAUGCCUCGCAUUCAGGUUUGAGGAUUGACUCUUGUCUUUCCUCACAUUUCCAGGCCUAUGUUUUCUUUAUAUACACCAUCUAUGUUAUAGAAUGUAAUAAAAAGGCCCUUUGUGCCUACAAAUUUUAUACAACUUUCAGCAACGGAUCUCUUGGCUCUC
rnacentral:misc_RNA from 1 species